CAAACAUACACCCGUACUCACAGGCACAAACGCAAGCUCACACACACACAUACACGUUGAGCCCGUGGGAGAGCGAGGGACGUCGCACAGUGCAGAGUGGGGAAGAGGGAAGGAGAGCAGAACGUUGCAGCAGGACAGAGCGGAAACACACACACACCAGGACGUCUGUUGCAUGAAGCAGGUGGGGUUGGGAUCUCAAUGGACCAUCAUCAGUGACAUGGAGCACUGUAAGCCACCCACCACCAGAGGGCAGUGUUCUUCAUUACCAGUGGAACACACUGACCAGCCUCCAGCCUCAAACCACUCCCACAGUCCGAGCGUCCGUGAUGUGUGCUGACUGCUGAUAAGCACAUACCCGAGACAUAUCGGGACAGAAACAACAUAAGACAAAGACAACCAAGGAACAAGGGGUCAAACAUUGUAUCUUUGCUUCUAGUUGGUCAGUGUUGGGGUUCCAAUGUUGUCUUGGAACCAAUUAGUUUUCCAAAACGAAUACAUUUCGUAAUGCACCAUGAGGUGAUUGAAGCAUAGGGCUGGGACGUGGAAACGGAGACAAAAGCUUUUACAUAGUGGUGUAUGAUUGGUCCUUCUCCAGGAACCAUUGAGGAUGCAGCUGUCUGUCAUCAUUCUGGGCGUGUUCCUGUCCCUCCUCAUCCUGCUGACCAUAUUUGGCAACGUCCUGGUGUGUCUGGCGGUGUGCGCGACGCGACGCCUCCGCUGCCUCACAAACUGUUUCAUCGUCUCCCUGGCCGUGACUGACUUGCUGCUCGGCAUGCUGGUCCUGCCUUUCUCAGCCCUCCUCCAGCUCUCCAACGAUUGGCCGCUGGGGCCCACCCUUUGCAACCUCUAUAUCUCCAUGGAUGUCAUGCUGUGCACCGCCUCCAUCCUCAACCUGUUGGCCAUCAGUGUUGACCGCUACCUGGCCGUGACGGCACCUCUAAGGUACCCCUCGUUGGUGCUGCCGAGGCGUGUCGCCGUAGCAAUGGCGUCAGUGUGGGCCAUGUCGCUGGCAGUGUCGUUCCUGCCCAUCCAGCUGGGCUGGAACACAUCCAACGGCACCGUGCAGAAUUUUGGCCCCAACGACCCAGAGAGGAAGUGCAUUUUCAGGCUGAACCCAUCUUACGUCAUAGUGGACUCCCUGCUCACUUUCUACCUCCCCCUGCUGGUCAUGUGCUGGACCUACCACCGCAUCCUGCGCAUCGCACGGGCGCAGGCCAAACGCAUCAUCUCCAUGCGGCCCAACUUCAACGGCCCCGGGGCCCCCGCGGUGGUUUCCACGGUGACGGCGGUGGCGCUGCGUGAGCACAAGGCCACGGUGACUUUGGCGGCGGUGAUCGGGGCGUUUGUGGUGUGCUGGGUGCCCUACUUCACCCUGUUCACCAUCAUGGGGGUGCGGGAGCAGGCGGAGCCCCCGCCCGUAGCCUAUCCCGUGGUGCUGUGGCUGGGCUACACCAACUCCGCCCUCAACCCCAUCCUCUACGCCGCGCUCAACAGAGACUUCCGCUCGGCGUACGCUCGCCUGCUGCGCUGCGGCUACUACAGCACAGGGAGGGGCCGGCCCCCGUCGGCUAACCCGGCGAGGGAGGUGACCCUGCUGUGUGGACACACCCCCUCCAUCUGCAGGGCGGGGCUAGGAGAGACAGGUAUGUUGCUCCAGGACGUGAAUAGGAGACCUGCCAUGGCCACCUUCCAGCUCAGCAAUGGGGGCGAUGGCAAUGAUGACACCUCGAUGACUGGCGCCGUCGGCAGCGAUGGCUUGUGCUGAGGCUACGCUGGUGUGUGAGAAGAAUGUACCGGUAGGUCCAUCCGGCAUCCAGCCUGCAUCCUGACCUGUGUCUCAGAAGGAGGCCAAUGUGUUUGGUAGCAGAUUCUGAGAUAUGGGUGGAAUGGAAGUAGCGGUCGCCGUGUCAGACGAGACAGGUGGGAACACAACAUGGGCUGCUGCAUUCACGUGUGUCCUGGAUCUUUCCAGGUCUGAGCCCUCUCCUGCAGGACACAGACAUGCCAGCUGCAGGGGAGUCCAGAACAGCAAGCUCAUAGGACCAGGAAAACUGUGUGCGAUAAAGUAGCGAAAGAACACUGAGUAGCUGACGCAUUGUGGAUUUACUGUAACCUCAUACGCAGGAUGGAAUAACUGAAGGCUCUCAUUUCCAGCAAGGAGAAAGUUGACAUUUACCUGGGACUUGAGAUUUCAUUCUCCCUUCAUAUUGACUGGAUCUAAUGUGCACAUGACAGAAAAUCUGGUUCCCAAUUUUUAUUGAGUCAGGCUUGUUACUCCUCAAUUAUAAUUAAUUGGAUAUUCCCUUUGGUAUGUUGAGUUUCUCAUUUUAGAUCACAAGUAGACUACACCGAACUGAAGAGUAAAUAAUUCCCAGUGGUUUCAUAGCAAAUUACAGCAGAAAGGUCAACUAUUGGUAUUCAUUUUUAGAACGCACACAAACACACCAAUGUUCAAUGCAAAACCAAGUGGACAGCACAGGAUGAAUUCAGAUUUCAUGUUAUGAUCUUAUAGGUAACUGGGCAGGACCUAGGCCUAUUCAUUUCAAAGGGUUGGUGAAUAAUAUUUAAUUUAUUUAAACUUGAGCAAAGCAACAGCACAUACUAAAGGAUUAUACAGUACCUACAUUUUGGACAUUAUUUUAACAAAGCCUCAAUCAGAAAUAAUGUGAUUAGCAAUCCUAUGA